GACGUAGGGCGCGAGCGUUGUCCGGAUUUAUUGGGCGUAAAGAGCUCGUAGGCGGUUUGUCGCGUCGGGAGUGAAAACACCGGGCUUAACUCGGUGCUUGCUUUCGAUACGGGCAGACUAGAGGUAUGCAGGGGAGAACGGAAUUCCUGGUGUAGCGGUGAAAUGCGCAGAUAUCAGGAGGAACACCGGUGGCGAAGGCGGUUCUCUGGGCAUGUCCUGACGCCGAGGAGCGAAAGUGUGGGGAGCGAACAGG
rnacentral:rRNA from 1 species